AUUGAACGCUGGCGGCAGGCUUAACACAUGCAAGUCGAGCGAGCGGCGGACGGGUGAGUAAUGUCUGGGAAACUGCCUGAUGGAGGGGGAUAACUACUGGAAACGGUAGCUAAUACCGCAUACCAUCAGAUGUGCCCAGAUGGGAUUAGCUAGUAGGUGGGGUAAUGGCUCACCUAGGCGACGAUCCCUAGCUGGUCUGAGAGGAUGACCAGCCACACUGGAACGGGAACACGGUCCAGACUCCUACGGGGGGCGGCGGUGGGGAAUAUGGAACAAGGGGGGCAAGCCUGAUGCGGCCAGGCCGGGGGUGUGAAGAGGGCCUUCGGGUUGUAAAGCACUUUCGGCGAGGAGGCGUUACUCGCAGAAGAAGCACCGGCUAACUCCGUGCCAGCAGCGCGGUAAUAC
rnacentral:rRNA from 1 species